UUCCCACGUGUUCCAGUGGCUAGAAUAUUCGGCUUUCACCCAGAAGGCCUGGGUUCGAUUCCCGCCAGGAAA